CAGUCGCCGCGGUAAUACGUAGGGUCCGAGCGUUGUCCGGAAUUAUUGGGCGUAAAGAGCUCGUAGGCGGUCUGUCGCGUCUGCCGUGAAAUCCUCAGGCUCAACCUGAGGCGUGCGGUGGGUACGGGCAGGCUAGAGUGCGGUAGGGGAGAAUGGAACUCCUGGUGUAGCGGUGGAAUGCGCAGAUAUCAGGAAGAACACCGAUGGCGAAGGCAGUUCUCUGGGCCGUAACUGACGCUGAGGAGCGAAAGCGUGGGGAGCGAACAGGAUUAGAUACCCGCGUAGUCCCUGUCUCUUAUAC
rnacentral:rRNA from 1 species